AGCGAACGCUGGCGGCAGGCUUAACACAUGCAAGUCGAGCGGGCCCUUCGGGGUCAGCGGCGGACGGGGGAGUAACGCGUGGGAACGUGCCUUCUGGUCUGGCAUAACCCUGGGAAACUAGGGCUAAUACCGGAUACGCCCUUUUGGGGAAAGGCUUACUGCGGGAAGAUCGGGCCGCGUCUCAUUAGCUAGUUGGUGGGGUAUCGGCCUACCAAGGCGACGAUCAGUAGCUGGUCUGAGAGGAUGAUCCGCCAAACUGGGACUGAGACACGGCCCAGAAUCCUACGGGAGGCAGCAGUGGGGAAUAUUGGAAAAUGUGCGCACGCCUGAUCCAGCCAUGCCGCGUGAGUGAUUAAGGCCUUAGGGUUGUAAAGCUCUUUUAUCCGGGACGAUAAUGACGGUACCGGAGGAAUAAGCCCCGGCUAACUUCGUGCCAGCCGCCGCAGUAA
rnacentral:rRNA from 1 species